rnacentral:rRNA from 1 species
CCCUUAGACGUUCUGGGCCGCACGCGCGCUACACUGACGGAGCCAGCGAGUAUAAACCUUGGCCGAGAGGUCUGGGAAAUCUUGUGAAACUCCGUCGUGCUGGGGAUAGAGCAUUGUAAUUAUUGCUCUUCAACGAGGAAUUCCUAGUAAGCGCAAGUCAUCAGCUUGCGUUGAUUACGUCCCUGCCCUUUGUACACACCGCCCGUCGCUACUACCGAUUGAAUGGCUUAGUGAGGCUUCCGGAUUGGUCUAGAGAAGGGGGCAACUCCAUCUUGGAACCGAGAAGCUAGUCAAACUUGGUCAUUUAGAGGAAGUAAAAGUCGUAACA